AUUACAUAAAAACUAUUUCACCCCGUUGAAAAGAUCCAAGACCGGGGUUAGGGUUUUCACCUUCCAUACAAUGGCCGGUGGAGAGCAGACCCACACGAUCAAGUACGUGGAGUUUUUAGGAGAGACUAGGCCAAUUAUUCUUCAAAACCUUGCUGGGUCGUGUCCUCUUCGAGAAGGGAGUUCAAUUUGAGUCCACUUGCUGAAAACAUAUCUCAGAAGAAAUUACUUGAUAUGGUUGCUCACAAGUUGAAUAGUGUUACUAACAACCCUCAACACAACUCUGCUCAUGUCAUCUCUCGUCUUGCCACUGGGAUUGAUGUCAAUAUAAAAUUUAAAGGUAUUACUGAAUUUGAGUUGACAACGGAGCGUGUUUUGUUUGAUUUGUUAAAUAUACCACUUUACCAUGGGUGGAUAGUUGAUCCUCAGGAUAGUAAAACUUACAAUGCACUUGGAUCCAAAUCUUACAACACUAUACUGGGGGAUCUUGUUGGCCUUGAAACUGGAUUUGUGGGAAUUGAAGACGAGAAAAGGCCCGAAGAAGAUUCUGUCACAACAGGAAAACUGAUAAAAAAUUUCCUAGCAACAACUACUAGUCAAUUGACCGUACAUGGCCUGGUCUGUUUGCGAAAGGAAUUAAAAGAACUCGAGCUCUGUGUACUUUUUCGGAAUAAUCACUUGAGCACCAUGUUCAAGUUCGGUGGUCAGCUAUAUCUUUUAGUGACAGAAGAAGGUUAUAAAGACCAUCCUAAUGUUGUAUGGGAGAUGUUAAAUGAGGUAAACGGGAAUACACCGUUCAUGACCGGGAACUUUAAGGAAUUUAGGGCAGAAUGUGAUUAUGUGAGUAACACUUGUGUUGAAGAGAACUUCUGGACUGCGGAGUAUCUUGCUAGUACUAAUGAUGCUGCGCAUGAUAAUUCCAGUUUCAAUUCUGAUAUGCAAUUGUCAAGGGAUCUGCAAGAAAAGGAAUUUAAGCAGCCAAAUGUUUAUUUUGGUUCAGGGUUGGUUAGAGGUCCUCAGAUUUGUGAGACUCAAUUCAUACUCAUCAUGAGAUUCAAACCAGGGAGCAAGGUGGAGGUGCUGAAGGAAGUGGAUUCAUUGACUGCAUGGUGUGGCGGGGAAAUUAUCUCUGGUAAAGGGCAUAGUUACACUGUCAGAUAUGAUCAUUAUGUCCCGGAGCAUGGGGAAGCUACUGAUAGGGUACAUGAAGAGUUUGUCAGACCUCCUCCUCCUAUACAAAGAGUAGAUAGUUGGGUGUCUGAUGAUGUUGUGGAGGUUUUUGAUGAUGUUAUGUGGAGAACCGCCAUCAUAUCAUCCGCGCGUGGAUCUUAUUGUAAUGUUCGGCUACUUGGAUCAUCUUACAAGUUCAGAGUACACAUAUCAAAUAUCCGGAUUAGACAGUCUUGGAAAAAUGAUAAAUGGCUUCUGAUGGACAAGGGAUGGGCGAAUUCUGGAGAGUUGGAAUUAAGUCAACUGUCGACUUCAGAUUGUUAUCAGAAGAUGACCUACCAGGCAGCACAAACUAAUGCAGCAGUCAAAAAGCAACGAAAAUUCAACCUAUCAGCAGCAGCACAAAACAGCGGGGCACGGGAUUCUCAUAUUGCAUAUUCUAGAACACUGAAGAGAGCAUCUCCUUAUUGUUCAUCUCUUAUUCAGGCAAAUAGUGGAAAUCUUAAGAAAUUCAGAACUGCUGAAAAAGAAGACCGAAGGCAUCCCGUGCUCCCUGUUAAUGUGAAUCAGGUAGAUGCUGUAGCUUACCCAAGAAAAAAUCUGGGUGAAACGUACAUGCGUGCUUCCUUUAACAAUAUAACAAAUGGACAUAAUGAAUUGGAUAGAGGAGAACUAAAUGAUGUCAUUGGCUGUUCAGCUGCAAGGGACUCUGAGAGUAAUGAUUCUGAUAGCGAUAUAUCUUCUGUUGGUAGUUGUAGUGCUAUUUCUAGAAGUCUAAAUAAGUUUUCCACCCAUAAGCUAGCAGUUCCAUAUCAAGAGACAAAUAGCCUUUCUAGCGAUGCAGAAUCUUGUUGCAGCGGCGCGAGGGACAAGUGAAGUUGUGACGUUCCUCCAGAAGAGGUUAUAGCAGAAAGGCAAAAGAUUUGGUGGCUUGCAAAUUUUGCUUCCGGUCUUUCACAAUGAUGCUGGGGUAUGCAAAACUAUAUUUGCAUAACUAACCGGGGCAUCUACUAUCUUCAGAUUGGAAACUAUAGCCAUCUGGUUACAGUGUGACACCUUUUAUUGUUCUUCAUGUUAUUUCAUGUCAAGGCAGCUCAAUCUGUGUCAACAUGCACACUGCUGAAAUCUGGGAUAUUGUAGUUGUAAUAAUAUUAUGAGAUUCCGGUGAGGGCGAGGGCGAGCAAAGUGGAGGUGUUGAUUGCAUGGUGUAUUGUCUGAAUUUGUUUUAGCACUGAACGUUCAGAGGUACCAUCCUCAAAAAUGAGGUAUGUCAUGUGACAGAGUGCGAGUAGAUCUGCUUAUCGAAACCUUCUCCUGCACAGAGUAUAGAGUGAGGAGUUGCAUGGCUGGUGUUGUGUAAGUAUUUGAAAUGGUGCCAAGUUCAUGGAGAUUAUGGUUGUUCUGCUUCACCUAUAUUUCAAAUAUAUGAGGCUACAGUGGUAUCAUGUUUAGAGAAUAUCGGAAAUGUGAUAAGUGGUUAAAGAAGAUAUGAGGGUCAUGAGUUUCCAAAUUUUCAAAGGACCUCUGAGAACCAGGACCUUCAGCGCAUUCCGUGGUCUGAAGAUUAGCUUCUAGGAUGGAAAAAGACAGCCAUCAAAGUCCAAGCUCUUUUCUAACAAUUACAAAAAGUAAUACUCGACUGUGGGGGUCUAAUAUAGCAGCUUUGUUGACACUUGAAAGAAAGUCUCCUUUGCUGAAAUUGUUAAGAAGUCAAGGUGGUUAAGAAAGAAGAAUUUAGGCAUUGAUUACUUGCCAAUUGAAAUGAUAAAAAGAUAAAUGGCUGAUUCUUGUAACAAUGGAACCAUGAAAAGUAAUGAGUUUGCUGAGAGGGAACCUUAUGGUUUCAUUGCUUGGUUGGGUUCACAAUAACAUGAGAACUACUGAUUCUUGUACAAGUGCUGCAUGCUCUACUUUUAGGACUAAUGCUACUUUUCAGAGUCUAGAUGAUGGCAUAUUGCUCUUUUGGUGAUGAUGAAUCUUAAAUGUGGGUUGGGGGAAGAUAAUAGUUCCAAAAUGUAGACGUUGCUUAGACUUGCAUGCUUUCUUCUGCAAUCUAGAAAUACUGGGGAAAGGAUUAUUGGCAAGUGAUAAGUUUGUGUAUUACUCUGGCAUUUCAAGCUAUGAGAUUCCGGAAAGCAUUUCAUUCAAUUCAUUUCUAGCAACUGCCUUAUUGCUGGGGUUGGCUCUCAUUCAAUUCAAUCGUAGUCUGUUUUGGAUUGUAUUGUAUAUAUAAUGUCUGAUCUCUUUAUCA